UCCAGGUCCCGGUUGUCUGCGCAGCCCGCGGGAGGCGUUUGUGGGUGUUUCUGGAGGAGGCUGCCCUGGCCGCGCAGAAGGCAAGGGCUCUUCGGUGCUGUCGCUCCUCUGACGGCCGCGGAUCCCGGCAUCGCUCGGAGGUAUAAAAAUUUAUAAAGUGCUUCGGGACGGCACCAGCUGAAAAGAGAAUCACUUGAACAGAAGCCACUGAGGCAGCAACAUCUGAACAUUUCUUACCUACUUUUUCCUGUUAAUUUCCUUAAAUGUUCUUUCCCCUUUGAGACCUGUAUUGCACUCCAGCAUCUCUCGAGCCACUCAUUCUGAAUUCCCCGGGAGAGGCAGAACUUUUCUCCAGAGCUGGCAAAUUCCACUCACUGUCCUCCAGGACCUCUUUUUUUUUUUUUUUUUUUUUUUUUCCUUUUGGAAAUAAGGAAAAAGGCAACCGGAGAGCAUUUCCCUAUACUUGGGUGCCUUCAGUAUCCGACUGGGUACUUUUCAUAAGUUUAAAUGUUACUGUUAGACUUAUAACUAGAAUACAUGCAGGUGCACGUUUGGGUUUUGUACAAAUUUAUAGUGGUUUAUUCCUCUCUAUUUUUUGACCUAUUAAUUUAUAUACUAAAAAAGUCAGCAUCCUUUCUGAGGAAUACACCCAUGAGAAAUUAUUCCUCCGUUAUUUAUUGCCUACUUGAGGAGUUCCGUAAAUGAAGUUUCCAUAGACUCACAGCCCAGAAGCUGUAGAAAAUGGAGUUCCACAUUGCCACAAUAUCUGAUCCUGCUACAUUUAUUUAAAUCGGAUAGUGCUUGGAAGAGAGCAGUUUGAGUAAUUUAAGGAAAAGGAGAAUAUAAAAACAAAGUUCUGUUGUUAGAUGGUAAAAAAAACCAAACAAAACAAACAACAAAACAACAAAACAUCCUCAAGAAAUUGUAGGUGUAUAAUAAUUACACAGCACAGUCCUAGCAUGGGAGGACAUCUGGAUUCACUGCAAACAUCAGCUUUCCCAGAGCAGUCCUCAUUAGUAAUGCACUCGUAUUUCUGGAUGGAAUAAGGGACUCCAUAACAAGCUGGUAAACAGUGACUUCAUGCCUCUGUCUCCUCUUGGCUGGCCUUCAGUAAUUAAAAAUGCAAUGUGAAGCUUCCAACAUCAGCUGAAACCUGAGCUGCUACCUCUCCCUGACAAGACUAGCUAAGUACCACAUGUGUUUCCCGCACAGCACCGGGGCAAACAGCCUCUGGUGCAGCACAGGAGAACAGACAGAAGACAUCAGAAUUGUUAACAGUGUCAGCCUCUCAAAUUCUGUUUGUAAACAGGUUUUAAUUUUCUCUAAAAACAAGAAGCGCCAGAAUAAUGUCAGAAAGACCAAUGGAGUAUAGAGCAAACGUGACUUUUUUUUUUUUUCCCCCCUAUAAUUAUUUAGAAUUCUGUAUUAGAAUUGUAAAUAGCUGUGCGAGAAGCAGCUGUGCUGUCACUCUGAAGACAGCAGGCACAGAAAUCACACUUCAUAGUUCCCAUCUCUGCCUAGAAUUCAUCAUAGCCACUUAGCAUGAGAGGACAGGAUGCAAAUUGGGUAAAGAAAGAGGUCACCCAGAAAGGUAGUGCUUUUAUCACAGCAGAGCUAAUCUUCCUGGCAACUUGUAGGUUGUUUCCCCUGAAAACAUUAAUAAAAAAAUCUAUUUUACCUGGAA